AAGUGAAAAACCAAACCAAACCUUUUGCCUCUAUGUAUUUUAAAUAAAAAUACAUAAAUAUCGAAAAGCUUAUUUGACCAAAUUGGAGAGACGAUUGAGAUUAAAAGAAGAGUGCGAUUGAAGGUUUUGAUAGGACCCUUGAGAAAUUCUUUUCCAUGGUAGAAUUUACCUUCUCCAAAGGAAGAAGAACAAAAACUUCACCAUGGAUGGCAGACAUAAAGUGAGGUGACACACCAAUCUGUCAUUUGUGCUUGAGAUGGCCAGCUGCAUGCAUGGAGUAGCAGUCUUCUCUGGUCCACCAAAUUGCCAAUGGCACAUAUCAUCAUCCCAUAAGGAAUAUACUUAAAGCGUGGCCCCAUCCAUGCUGAUCCUAAUCAUAAAAUCCUGCCAGUCUCAUAUCAUGAAGAGGAGUGUGAUGCACGAUUCUGAUGGCACAGAACGAAGUUGCAUGGAUACUGUCAGAUGAUGUUGAAUUGAGAAGUCCCAAGAAGAAGCCAAGGGGAAUUUGAGUUCCUUGAUGGAGAUUUGCAUGAGAGCAGCCCAAUAAUUCAUCAUACGUGAUAAAGUAAAGGUGAUCUGGACCUGGUUCAACUUGUGCAAAAAAAACAUGUUUGAUAGGUCGUGUUUCUGUCAUGCAAGCAAUUGUAACCUCAAGCCCUUCUUCCAUCUAAAAGAGAUCAGGAAUGUGUCGCCAUUAGUAAUGAGAUAGAAAAUGAACUUGGAAAGCUUCUGUUCAUGCUACGCACGCAAGUGUACCAUAUACCAUGGAAAAGAGAUGAGAUCAUGAAAUGCGGUGAAGAGAGGGGAAAAAGUUACCUUGAUCGUGGAAGCCUUUC
rnacentral:lncRNA from 1 species